rnacentral:lncRNA from 1 species
AGAGGUGGCCAGCAAGGGUACAACAAUAAAAUUACAGUGGCAAGACAUGGAGGAAGGGAAGAAAAUGUAAUGGUUGUUUGGCUCAGUAGAUAUAGAGGAGCCCUCCUUCUGUUCAAAAAUACGGUUGGAGGGAAAAAUAAAUGAUGGGGAGGCAAUAAUCAUGUACUGUCCUUCAUUUACCAUUCUAUCCUAGUGUGCGAGGACCU